rnacentral:tRNA from 1 species
UCCCUGGUAGCUCAGAGGUUAAAGCAUCUGCCUGCAAUGCGGGAGACCUGGGUUCGAUUCCUGGGUCGGGAA